CAACUCCCAUCAUGCCAAGUUCCCAGAGGAGAUCACCCAGCUCAUCACGCUAGAGCACUUUUACAAGGGGCUCCCCGAAGACAAGGUGACGACGCAUUCGUAUGUCAUCCAUAUCAACUUUUGAUGCCACUUUCUGCACCUACCAUGGUGACCACGGGUAACGGGGAAUCAGGGUUCGAUUCUGGAGAGGGAGCCUGAGAAACGGCUACCACAUACAAGGAAGGCAGCAGGCAGGCAAAUGACCCACUCCCGACGCGGGAAGGUUGUGA